rnacentral:misc_RNA from 1 species
AAGUCGUAACAAGGUUUCCGUAGGUGAACCUGCGGAAGGAUCAUUAAAGAAUACCUGGACUCCGGUCCUCGUCGAGAAAGGUCGUCCCGGGUGGCCUCCAGGUCCCGGGCUUCCCCCUCCUACCUCUUUACUCUACCUCUGUUGCUUGGCACACGCUCCAUGGCCCCGGGUAGGUUGCCGGCUUGGCUCUGGCCCGGAAAGGCCCAACUCGUGGAUAGUCUAUGUUUGUCUGAGUACGAUAUAAUCGUUUACAA